UCCCUGUUUGCUCAGACAGUAAAGAAUCUGCCUGUAAUGCAGGAGACCCAGGUUUGAUCCCUGGGUGGGGAA
rnacentral:tRNA from 1 species